rnacentral:tRNA from 1 species
ACCAAAAAUAAGACCCAAUCUUUUAAAACUUCAAGAGAAAAGAAAUUUCC